AUUGAACGCUGGCGGCAUGCCUUACACAUGCAAGUCGAACGGUAACGGGCCUUCGGGUGCCGACGAGUGGCGAACGGGUGAGUAAUACAUCGGAACGUGCCCGAUCGUGGGGGAUAACGAGGCGAAAGCUUUGCUAAUACCGCAUACGAUCUACGGCUGAAAGCAGGGGACCGCAAGGCCUUGCGCGGACGGAGCGGCCGAUGGCAGAUUAGGUAGUUGGUGGGAUAAAAGCUUACCAAGCCGACGAUCUGUAGCUGGUCUGAGAGGAUGAUCAGCCACACUGGGACUGAGACACGGCCCAGACUCCUACGGGAGGCAGCAGUGGGGAAUUUUGGACAAUGGGCGCAAGCCUGAUCCAGCCAUGCCGCGUGCAGGAUGAAGGCCUUCGGGUUGUAAACUGCUUUUGUACGGAACGAAAAGCCUUCUUUUAAUACAGGAGGGUCAUGACGGUACCGUAAGAAUAAGCACCGGCUAACUACGUG
rnacentral:rRNA from 1 species